rnacentral:rRNA from 1 species
UACGGGGGGGGCAAGCGUUGUUCGGAAUUACUGGGCGUAAAGGGCUCGUAGGCGGACUGUUAAGUCGGAUGUGAAAUCCCUCAGCUUAACUGAGGAAGUGCAUUCGAAACUGGCAGUCUUGAGUAUGGAAGAGGGUCGCGGAAUUCCCGGUGUAGAGGUGAAAUUCGUAGAUAUCGGGAGGAACACCAGUGGCGAAGGCGGCGACCUGGGCCAAUACUGACGCUGAGGUGCGAAAGCGUGGGGAGCAAACAGG